AAAGCUCUAUUGGUGGUANAAACGUGAAAUUACUUAGUAGGUGCAAAUACCUANUUGGUAAAUAAAAGACGAGAAGACCCUAGAAAUUUUUUACAAUAUGAUAAUGNCACGUUUUUGUUGGGGCAACAUGGUAGCAUUUAACCUACAUUANAUGACAUGACANUCGUAUAGUUAGAUUAAAUUACUCUAGGGAUAACAGCGUAAUUUUAUAAANGUUUGCGACCUCGAUGUUGGACUAGGAAGCAGAUACUUAGAAAGUAAAAAGCUAGGCUCUGUUCGAGCNUUAAUAUCCUACGUGAUCUGA
rnacentral:rRNA from 1 species